CAGAAAAUAGUAUAAGAAAUAUUUAAAUUUUGGGGAUUUAGGUUGAGUUAAUCUUUUCUGA
rnacentral:tRNA from 1 species